UAUGCAUUAUAAAUUUCCAACAAGAAAAAAUUACCUGCCUUUCAGCACAUAUAGAUUUCACAUUCGUUUACAUCUGUUACAAACACUGAUUUACACAUAAUGACAUAAUUGAAUUUGUUUUAACUUGCAGAUUCAGCAAUGCAGUUGCAAAAUGGCCAGGCUCAAGCCAUGACUCCUCUAUAUUGAACAACAGUCAAGUUGCAGAGCUCCUUGACACUGGGAACUUGCCAGGGGUAUUGCUCGGAGACUCGGGUUACGGAUGUAAGCAAUGGCUCUUGACCCCAGUACUGGAGCCAAGAAGCAAAGCAGAACAAAAGUAUAACACCGCCCACAUGAAAACUCGCAACACCAUUGAGAGAGCUUUUGGAGUAUUAAAAUCCCGGUUCCGAUGUUUACACAAAACGACUGGUUGCCUGCCAUUCAGCACUGACAAGUGUUGUAAAGUAAUUAUCGCGUGCAUGAAGCUUCAUAAUUACUGCAUGG